GAGGAAGGUGGGGAUGACGUCAAGUCCUCAUGGCCCUUAUGUCCUGGGCUACACACGUGCUACAAUGGCGGUGACAGUGGGAAGCCAGGCAGCGAUGCCGAGCUGAUCCUCAAAGGCCGUCUCAGUUCGGAUUGCACUCUGCAACUCGGGUGCAUGAAGGUGGAAUCGCUAGUAAUCGUGGAUCAGCAUGCCACGGUGAAUACGUUCCCGGGCCUUGUACACACCGCCCGUCACACCAUGGGAUUUGGUUUGACCUUAAGUUGGUGCGCCAACCGCAAGGAGGCAGCCAACCACGGUCGGGUUAGAGACUGGGGUGAAGUCGUAACAAGGUAGCCGUAA
rnacentral:rRNA from 1 species